AGUCAUAUGCUAAUCUAAAAGAUUAAGCCAUGCAUGUCUAAGUAUAAACACGAAUUGUACGGUAAAACUGCAGAUGGCUCAUUAAAACAGUAAUAAUUUAUUUGACAAUUGAAAUAUUACACGGAUAACCGUGGUAACUCCAGGGCUAAUACGUGACAAAAACUUUUCGGGAUUCGGUUACCGUAGAGUGUGCAUAUUAGCUUUAAAACCAGCGAUGGUUGAAUAAUAAUAUUCUGUCGGAUCGCGUUGGCUCCGCCAGCGACGUGUCAUUCAAGUUUCUGCCCUAUCAGCUUCGACGGUAGGGUAUUGGCCUACCGUGGCAUUGACGGGUACGGGGAAUCGGGGUUCGAUUCCGGAGAGGCAGCCUGAGAAACGGCUACCACAUCCAUGGAAGGCAGCAGGUGCGAAAAUUGCCCAAUCCUAACCCAGGGAGGCAGUGACCAGAAAUAACGAUUCUCAGCCUCUAUAGGUUGUAAUUCGGAAUGAGUACACCGUAAAACUCUUAACAAUAACCAAGUGGAGGGCAAGCCUGGUGCCAGCAGCCGCGGUAAUACCAGCUCCACUAGCGUAUACUAAAGUUGUUGCUGUUAAAACGCUCCUAGUUGGAUGUCAGCCGGGGGUGGCAUGGCCCGGCCGCGUUGCGCCGCGCCAAAGCGGUUUUCCGCCGCCGCCUCGGCUUUUUCAGGAGUGCCGGUCUGCCCAUUAACUUGGGUCGGGCCGGCGUGCUCUGAUCUUUUACUUUGAGAAAAUUAGAGUGCUCAAAGCAGGCUUCGCUGAAUGCAUAUCAUGGAAUAAUAAAACACGACUUUGGACCCCGCCAAACAUGUUCCAUUUAUGGGGCUUGGGCGGCGGGGAGUUUUGUUGGUUUUGGGCCAAAGUAAUGAUUGAUAGGAACAACCGGGGGUGCUAGUAUCGCCGGGCCAGAGGUAAAAUUCUAUGAUCCCGGUGAGACUACCGUAUGCGAAAGCACUCGCCAAGCGUGUUUUCUUUAAUCAAGAACCACAGCUGGGGGAGCGAAGACGAUCAGAUACCGUCGUAGUCCCACGCCAUAAACGAUGUCGACUAAGUAUUGGGCAUGAUAGACUUCCCCAGCACUUUAUGAGAAAUCAAAGUUUUCGGACUCAGGGGGAAGUAUGCUUGCAAGAGUGAAAUUUAAAGGAAUUGACGGAAAGGCACCACCAGUAGUGGAGCCUGCGGCUCAAUUUGACUCAACACGGGGAAACUUACCAGGCCAGGACAUAGUGAGGAUUGACAGAUUAAAGUUCUUUCUUGAUUCUAUGAAUAGUAGCGCAUGGCCGUUCUUAGUUGGUGGAGUGAUUUGUCUGGUUAAUUCCGAUAACGAACGAGACCCCAGCCAUCUAACUAGCCGUCGCUAGCCCGCUAGCGCUUGGUACCAAGUUCGGCUUCUUAGAGGGACUAACUGUGUUUAGCAGUGGGAAGCGUGGGGCAAUAACAGGUCAGUGAUGCUCUUAUAAGGUCUGGGCUGCACGCGUGCUACAAUGGUGCAUCCAGCGAGUUCAACCUUCCCCGAAAGGGAUGGGUAACCUUUAACGUGCACCAAAGUGGGGAUAGACGAUUGUAAUUGUUCGUCUUGAACUAGGAACUCCUAGUAAACGCAAGUCAUCAUCUUGCAUUGAUUACGUCCCUGCCCUUUGUACACACCGCCCGUCGCUUCUACCGAUCGAAUAAUGCGGUGAACUGAGUGGAGGCCGGCCCUUCUUUUGUUGUGCUGGCUUAAGCUUCGUGAACCUCUAUAUUUAGAGGAAGAACAAGUCGUAACAAGGUAUCC
rnacentral:rRNA from 1 species